rnacentral:rRNA from 1 species
GACGAACGCUGGCGGCGUGCCUAAUACAUGCAAGUUGAGCGCUGAAGGUUGGUACUUGUACCAACUGGAUGAGCAGCGAACGGGUGAGUAACGCGUGGGGAAUCUGCCUUUGAGCGGGGGACAACAUUUGGAAACGAAUGCUAAUACCGCAUAAAAACUUUAAACACAAGUUUUAAGUUUGAAAGAUGCAAUUGCAUCACUCAAACAUGAUCCCGCGUUGUAUUAGCUAGUUGGUGAGGUAAACGUUCACCAAGGCGAUGAUACAUAGCCGACCUGAGAGGGUGAUCGGCCACAUUGGGACUGAGACAAGGCCCAAACUCCUACGGGAGGCAGAAGUAGGGAAUCUUCGGCAAUGGACGAAAGUCUGAACGAGCAAAGCCGCGUGAGUGAAGAAGGUUUUCGGAUCGUAAAACUCUGUUGGUAGAGAAGAACGUUGGUGAGAGUGGAAAGCUCAUCAAGUGACGGUAACUACCCAGAAAGGGACGGCUAACUACGUG